AACGAACGCUGGCGGCGUGGAUAAGACAUGCAAGUCGAACGGGAAAUAUUUAAGCUUGCUUUGAUAUUUCUAGUGGCGGACGGGUGAGUAACACGUGAGUUACCUGCCCCAAAGUGGGGGAUAGCCUCUCGAAAGAGAGAUUAAUACCGCAUGUGAUCGUAAGAUUAAAGAGGCUUCGGCCUCGCUUUGGGAUGGGCUCGCGGCCUAUCAGCUAGUUGGUGAGGUAAAGGCUCACCAAGGCGAUGACGGGUAGCUGGUCUGAGAGGACGACCAGUCACACUGGAACUGAGACACGGUCCAGACACCUACGGGUGGCAGCAGUCGAGAAUCAUUCACAAUGGGGGCAACCCUGAUGGUGCGACGCCGCGUGGAGGACGAAGGCCCUAGGGUCGUAAACUCCUGUCAUCAAGGAGUAAGGCGUUUACCAGGUAAUGGGUAGGCGAUUGAUAGUACUUGAAGAGGAAGGGACGGCUAACUUCG
rnacentral:rRNA from 1 species